rnacentral:rRNA from 1 species
UUAUCUGCGUGCCAGAAGCUUUGGUAAGAGGUAGGGUGCGAGCGUUAUCCGGAUUUACUGGGCGGAAAGGGUCCGUCGGCGUCUGUGCAAGUUUUUUGUUUAAGCCUGGGGCUCAACUUCAGAAAAGCAAAAAAUACUGUACGGAUAGAGUUUGUUCGAGGAAGUUGGAAUUCUUGGUGGAGGGGUGAAAUCCGUAGAUAUCAAGAGGAACACCGCGCGCGAAGGCAGGCUUCUAGAACAAUACUGACGCUCAUGGACGAAAGCUUGGGUAGCAAAGCGGAUUAGAUACCCCUGUAGUC